AAUCCACUUUUCCACCGCCUUUGAAAUUUCCUGGUCCAAAUACAUCCGCUGGUAUCCCGCAACGCGCUAUCUUCAUCGCUUAAUCUUAGCCGUCCAUCCCAGCCUCACAACCUUAUAAAUAGACUCGCCCCGGAGCCAAUUCCUCCAUCCCAGUUUGUUUUGGUUUCAAUUGAGCUUCUAAUUUCUCCCUGUACAGCGGGGUGUAGGUUAGUGGUUAUCAUUCUUGUUUUCUUGUAUUAUACAGUAUGUGGAUUUCUGAAUUGCAGUCCUUUGAUUGAGAAAUUGAAAGCCUGAAUCUAGAUCUAGAUGCAAUUUUGGGGGAAUCAGAGCACGAUUUCAGGUUUGGGCGAUUCUGAGGUUUUUGUUGUGAGAUUUUCCCUAUGCAAUUUGUUCUAAGUUUAUUUUUUCCAUUGAUGAUCGGAGAGGAUGUGCUAUGUUAGCGAUCAGGUUCCAGUUCUUGUUAGUAACUAUGGACAGAGAGAUCAUUCUGUCUCUGAUUUGACAUGAGCUUCAGGUGCGCUAUGUUUCACAAGCAGGCCACAACUUCGAUAUGGAGCUAUCGGUUUGGAUUUGAUAUCUUGCAUCUUAUAUGCUAAUGUUGUCUUAUUCUCGCAUCAACUUCCUUUACCCUGACUUCUUCAAUGCUUAUUUGGUCCGGUCAUCGGUGGAUUUCAUUCCUAGGUUUUGAUGUCACUUUUCAAGGGUCCAUGGUGCAAGUGGUUCUAAAGGAAUAAGUGUCUUACGGAUAAGUACUCAAUUCUGAAUCUUUAGAUUGCCGCCUAAAGUGCUUCUCUAUAUUUGGUGUUCUCGCUACUAGUUUUCUCUGCUCCAAUUUUCUUUUGCUUAUCACACCUGUUUUGUUGGAUGGAUUAGAUUUGGAAAUUUCUAAGGUUGGUGUCCAGAAUGCGCUCCUCUGCAUGUUGUUUACAGAUCAAUGUCAGAGGCUUCGAGAAAAGGGGUUUUUUCAAUCGUCUCUGGCAUCUCUGGUGAUUUCCUAGGUGUAUGCGUUUCGCGCUUAACUAUUCCCUUCUGUCUGUGCUUGCAGCCGUUGGGUCUUAGAGUGCAAUGAAUUCUUCUUUUCAUGGAGCGUUGAGAUUGGUUUUGAUUUCUUAGCUCUCAGUCACUACCAUCACUCUCUAUCUUCAUAUUGUUGCUUUCCUUUUGUACUUUAUCUGUUUCUUAUUAUUUUGUUUUCGAUUUGCUCUAUUUUGUGUGCGAUGUAGGUUUCUGAUCUGCAAUUCUAUGAUCUGACUGCUUUGAGAAUUAAGCUCGGGCCAAGCAAUUCAAGUGGCAGGGUUUGGGAGUCCUUUUUGAGUUUUUUUUUUUUUUUUUGUGUGCGCAUUCAAUUUGCAAUUUUUUCUGUUUUGUUUUUCUUUUUUGUUGAUUAGAGAGGGUUUGUUUGCCAAUGUUGCCAAUGUUUGAUCAGGUCUGGGUAACAACUAUAGGAGAAUGAUUCUAAGGGCUUCCAGUGGUUUUGAUGAGUCUUCUCUAUGGUGACUUUCCGGUGGGUGAUUUCUUUUCAUGGAAUUGUAGCUAGUACCUUCAUCCUACUCAUAGUCAUGGUAUCUCGCUGAUUACCCUUUAUAAACAGCUUUUUGUGAAUUUUCUUUUUUGUGCUUCUUGUUGUGACCUCUGCCAGUUACCUUGGUUAUGUUCAUAAGGUUGCUUUCGUCCCUUGUAUAGUUUAUCUUUUAUGUUGUCAUCCUUGAUUAUUUUCUUGUUAUUAUGAUAUGUGGGUUUCUUGUUUGCAAUCCUUUGAUUUGCGAUGUUAAGAAAUUGAAAGGCAGUGAGAUCCACUCUAGAUGCAAUUUCGAGGGAACCAAGCAUGCUUUCAGGUUUUGUGCGCAAUUCUGAUAUUUUUGUUGUGAGUCUUCGCUGCACAAUUAGUACUGCGUUUAUUUUUUCCAUUGACAAUAGGGGAGUAUCUUGCUAUUUAGUUUUUUUGAUCAGGUUCCUUUUCGAUUUGGAGUUGUAACUUUGGAUAGAGGGAAUUUUUCUGUCUCUGAUUCAACAUGAGCUCCCCCUCCUAUUUUGAGAAGUUACGGUAGUGUACACUUCUUUCCAUACUAUUUGAGCUAUUGCUACUCUGAAACCUCAAGCAAUUUUGCUCCCCGCUGACUUGGAUCUUCAGAUGAAUGAGCCCGUCAUCUGUUCUAGCCCUAUGCGUCACAAGACAAGCAGGGCACAACUUCAGCAUGGAGCUAUCAGUUUGGAUUUGAUGUCUUGCAGCUAAUAUUGAUGCUAAUAUUGUCUUAUUCUCGCAUCAACUUCUUUUACCUUGACUUCUUCAAUGCAUAUUUUGGUUUGGUCAUCUGGUGGAUUUCAUCCCAGGUGGUGUAGUUUUCAAUGGAUGAGUAUUAAGAUUGAUCUAAGGGGGCAAGUGAUUCUGAAGGUGUAUUGCUUUGGUGUUUGUGCUCGGGAAGGUGCAGAGCAAGUUCUCAGGUCUUAGGCUUAAGAGGUAUUGGAGAUUUUCGUGUCUCUAAGCUUUGUCAAAAACUGCUGUUAUAUGGAAGCUCUCAAUUAAGAUUAUUCUUUCCGCAAGCAUGUAUAGUGUAUUCUGCUGCCGUUUUUAGUUUUCAAUCCAGAUGCUUAUGUUCUUCGAUGAUCCAGCUGAUGAGAUCUCUUAUCAUUAUUGACACCUGAUAAGUACUCAAUUCUGCAUCUUUAGAUAGCCUAAUAAAGUGCUCUUCCACUUUUGGUGGUCUCCCUACUCAUCUUCUCAGCUUCUGUUUUCUUUUGGUUAUCAUGCCAACUUGUUUUUGUUUGUUGGAUAGAUGUGUAGACCACACAGUGACAGGAAUUAAGGGCUGGAUUUUGAAAUUUCAAAGGUUGGUGGUACGGUUUCUUGGUCUUUUUGGUGCUUGCAUUGCAUUCCUGAUAUUGUCAGGCUUCGAGAAAGGGGGAAUUUCAAUCUUGUGUCUGGCUUCUCUUAUUUCCUAGUGGUAUGGGUUUCAGCAGCUUUUCACUUACUGUUACCCCUAGUUUUUGCUUGCAGUCAUUGGCCCUAGAGAAGUGAAUUCCUCCUUGCAUGGAGCCCCGCCUUGUUUUCCUUGCCGAUCAUUGAGGUCUCCGUUGGUCUCUGUAGUUUAGGCUUCUAUGAGUAUUGAGAUUUCCAAUCCAAUUUUCUUCCCUAAUCAGAGUGAUUACUUAUCUUUGUCAAACUGCUGGUAUACGGAAAUUGUCAACUGAGAUUAAAUCUUUUCACAAGUGUGUAUAGCAUAUUCUGCUGCCAUUUUCAGUUGUCAUUCCUGAUGCUUAUGUAUCUUCGAUGAUCCAACUGAUGAGAUCUCGCUUAUGGUUAUGGGCACUUGGUUGGACACCUGAUAAGUACUCAAUCUCAAAUCUGGAUCUUUUGAUAGCCCCAUAAAGUGCUCCUCUACUUUUGGUUUUCUCGCUACAUAUCUUCUCUGCUACUAUUUUCUUUUGUUUAUCACGCAAACUUGUAUUUGUUUGUUGUUGGGAUGUGUAGACCACAUGGAAGGAUUGGAUUUUGAAAUUUCAAAGGUUGGUGAUCCAGCAUGCGUUAUGCAUGGUUUCUUGGUCUUUUUGGUGCUUGCAUGCAAUCUUGGUAUUGUCAGGCUUCGAGAAAGGGGGUUUUCAAUCUUGUCUCUGGCAUUUCUUUUGAUUUCCUAGUGGUAUGGUUUUCACCAGUUUUUCACUUAAAUGUUGCCUCCUAUUUGUGCUUGCAGCCAUUGGGCCUUAGAGCAGUGAAUGCGUCUUUCCAUGGAGCCGCAUGUUUCCUUGCCGAUUUGCAUUGAGGUUUCUGUAGUUUAGACUUCUAUAAUUAUUGAGAUUUUCAUUCCAGUUUCCUUCCCUAAUGAUAGUGAUUCCCUUCUCUCUUUGUCCAAACUGCUGGUAAUACAGAAAUUGUCACCUGAGAUAAAUCUUUUCACAAGUGUUUGUAGUGUAUUCUGCUGCCCUUUUUUCAUCUUCAAUCCAGAUGCUUAUGUUCUUCAAUUAUCCAACUUGUGAGAUCUCUCUUAUGGUUAUGGACACCUGAUAAGUAUUCAAUCUCAAAUAUGGAUCUUUUGAUAGCCCCAUAAAGUGCACAUCUACCUUUGGUUUUCUCGCUACAUAUCUUCUCUGCUACUAUUUUCUUUUGUUUAUCAGGCCAACUUGUUUUUGUUUGUUGGGUGGAUGUGUAGACCACAUGGUGACAGUAAUUAAGGAUUGGAUUUUGAAUUUCAAAGGUUGGUGAUCCAGUAUGUUACACAUGGUGACAGUAAUUAAGGAUUGGAUAUUGAAUUUCAAAGGUUGGUGAUCCAGUAUGUUACACGGUUUCUUGGUCUUUUUGGUGCUUGCAUUGCAAUCUUGAUAUUGUUAGGCUUCGAAAAAGGGGGGUUUUUCAAUCUCGUCUCCCGCAUCUCUUGUGAUUUCCUAGUGGUAUGGGUUUCACCAGCUUUUCACUUACCGUUAUCUCCUGUUUGUGCUUGCAGCCAUUGGGCCCUAGAGAAGUGAAUUCCUCCUUGCAUGGAGCUGCCUUGUUUUCCUUGCCGGUCAUUGAGGUCUCUGUAGUUUAGGCUUCUAUGAGUAUUGAGAUUUUCAAUCCAGUUUUCUAUCCUAAUUAUAGUGAUUCCCUUAUCUUUGUCAAAACUGCUGGUAUAGGAAAAUUGUUGACUGAGGAUAAAUCUUUUCACAAGUGUGUAUAGCAUAUUUUGCUGCCAUUUUCAGUUUUGUCAUUCCAGAUGCUUAUGUUCUUCGAUGAUCCAACUGAUGAGAUCUCUCUUAUAGUUAUGGACAUCUGGUUGGACACCUGAUAAGUACUCAAUCUCGAAUCUGGAUCUUUUGAUAGCCCCAUAAAGUGCUCUACUUUUGAUUUUCUCGCUACAUAUCUUCUCUGCUACUGAUUUCUUUUGUUUAUCACGCCAAGUUGUAUUUGUUUGUUGUGGGGAUGUGUAGACACAUGGUGACAGUAAUUAUGGAUUGGAUUUUGAAAUUUCAAAGGUUGGUGAUCCAGCAUUCGUUAUGCAUGGUUUCUUGGUCUUUUUGGUGCUUGCAAUGCAAUCUUGGUAUUGUCAGGCUUCGAGAAAGGGGUUUUUUUCAAUCUUGUCUCUGGCAUCUCUUUUGAUUUCCUAGUGGUACGGGUUUCACCAGUUUUUCACUUAAAUGUUACCUCCUAUUUGUGCUUGCAGCCAUUGGGCCUUAGAGCAGUGAAUGCGUUUUUCCAUGGAGUGAGGUUUCUGUAGUUCAGACUAAUAUAAUUAUUGAGAUUUUCAUUCCAGUUUCCUACCCUAAUGAUAGUGAUUCCCUUCUCUCUUUGUCCAAACUGCUGGUAAUACAGACAUUGUCACCUGAGAUAAAUCUUUUCACAAGUGUUUGUAGUGUAUUCUGCUGCCAUUUUUUCAUCUUCAGUCCAGAUGCUUAUGUUCUUCAAUUAUCCAACUUGUGAGAUCUCUCUUAUGGUUAUGGACGCCUGGUUGGACACCUGAUAAGUAUUCAAUCUCAAAUUUGGAUCUUUUGAUAGCCCCAUAAAGUGCUCAUCUACCUUUGGUUUUCUCGCUACAUAUCUUCUCUGCUACUGUUUUCUUUUGUUUAUCACACCAACUUGUUUUGUUUGUUGGGUGAAUGUGUAGACCACAUGGUGACAGUAAUUAAGGAUUGGAUAUUGAAUUUCAAAGGUUGGUGAUCCAGUGUGUUACACACGGUUUCUUGGUCUUUUUGGUGCUUGCAUUGCAAUCUUGAUAUUGUCAGGCUUCGAGAAAGGGGGUUUUUCAAUCUUGUCUCCGGCAUCUCUUGUGAUUUCCUUGUGGUAUGGGUUUCACCAGCUUUUCGCUUACUGUUACCUCCUGUUUGUGCUUGCAGCCAUUGGGCCCUAGAGAAGUGAAUUCCUCUUUGCAUGGAGCUGCCUUGUUUUCCUUGCCGGUCAUUGAGGUCUCUGUAGUUUAGGCUUCUAUGAGUAUUGAGAUUUUCAAUCCAGUUUUCUAUCCUAAUUAUAGUGAUUCCCUUAUCUUUGUCAAUACUGCUGGUAUAGGGAAAUUGUUGACUGAGAUAAAUCUUUUCACAAGUGUGUAUAGCAUAUUUUGCUGCCAUUUUCAGUUUUUUCAUUCCAGACUCUUAUGUUCUUCGAUGAUCCAACUGAUGAGAUCUCUCUUAUAGUUAUGGACACCUGAUAAGUACUCCAUCUCAAAUCUGGAUCUUUUGAUAGCCCUCUAAAGUGCUCCUCUGCUUUUGGUUUUCUCGCUACAUCUCUUCUCUGCUACUGUUUUCUUUUGUUUAUCACGCCAACUUGUUUUUGUUUGUUGGGUGGAUGUAUAGACCACAUGGUGACAGUAAUUAAGGAUUGGAUUUUGAAAUUUCAAAGGCCGGUGAUCCAGUAUGCGUUACACAUGGUUUCUUGGUCUUUUUGGUGCUUGCAUUGCAAUCUUGAUAUUGUCAGGCUUCGAGAAAGGGGGUUUUUCAAUUUUGUCUCUGUCAUCUCUUCUGAUUUCCUAGUGGUACGGGUUUCACCAGAUUUUCACGUAAAUGUUACCUCCUAUUGUGCUUGCAGCCAUUGGGCCUUAGAGCAGUGAAUUCGGCUCUCCGUGGAGCUGCUUGUUUCCUUGCGACUUGUGUUGAGGUUUCUGUAGUUUGGACUUCUAAUUAUUGUGACUUUCGUUCCAGUUUCCUUCCCUAAUUAUUGUGAUUCCCUUCUCUCUUUGUCAACACUGCUGGUAAUACGGGAAUUGUUGACAGAGAUAAAUCUAUUCACAAGUGUUUAUAGUGUAUUCUGCUGCCACUUUUUUGUUUUCAGCCCAGAUGCUUAUGUUCUUCGAUUAUCCAACUUAUAAGAGAGAUCUCUUAUGGUUAUGGACACAUGAUAAGUACUUAAACUCAAAUCUGGAUCUUUUGAUAUAGCCCCAUAAAGUGCUACCCUGCUUUUGGUGUUCUUGCUGCAUGUCUUUUUCCUCUGCUUCUGUUUUCUUUUGUUUAUCAUGCCAGCUUGCUUUUGUUUGUUGGAUGGAUGUGUAGACCACAUGGUGACAGUGAUAGAGCAUUAGAUUUUGAAAUUUCAGAGGUUGGUGUCAAGUGCUUGCACUGCAAUCCAGAUAUUGUCAAGCUUUGAAAAAAGGUUUUUUUUUUAUCUCUCGUAUGUAAUAUCUAGUGAUUUCCUAGGUGGCAUGGGUUUCGCCAACUUUGCACUUAACUGUUCCUUCUCUCUGUGCUUGCAGCUGUUAGGAUAUAGGUUUCUGAUUUGCAUUUCUCUCAUAGUUUCCGUUGAGAAGUUAAGCUUGUUCCCAAGCAAUUCAAGCGGGCAGUCAGGCUUUGGGAGUUCUUUGAAUUUUCUCCUUUUGGGUCUGAGAUCCAGUUUGUUAUUAGAUCUGUUUCCUCUAUCUUCUUUGUUGAUUAGAGUUGGUUCUUUGUAUUUCAUCAUUGGCAUUGGUUGAUCAGGUCUUGGUAAUGUUUAUUGAAGAAAGGCCUUCUGGUGGAUUGUGGCUAGUUACCCUCUACCCUAUUCAUAGUCAUGGUAGCUCACCAAUUACCCUUUACCAAUAGCCAUCGCAGUCGCAGACUUCCCUUCUCCAUGCUGCUUUUUGUGACCUUCUGCUAGUUACGUUGGUUUCACAAUGUUCUUAUCUUUGCUUUCCUUCCAUGUGUAUAUUUUUGUUGUUCUCAUCCUUGACCGUUUUCUUGUGUAUUACGGCAUGUGGGACUCUGAUGAGAAGCUGGUGAGAUCCAUUCUUGGUGCGAUCUUUGGGGAAUGAAGCAUGUUUUUAGAUUUUGGGUUGGCUCUGAGGUUUUUGUUGUGAGACUCCACUAUGCAAUUAGUACUGUGUUUAUUUUUCCCUUGAUGAUUGGAAAUGGUGUUGCUCUGUUAGCAUCAAGUUCCAGUUCUAUUUGUAGUUGCAACAAUGGACAGAAGGUAACAUGUGCUUCUUCUAUUUGUGCGCUGGUGUACACUGUUUUGCCACACUACCUGAGCUAUCACUCCCCUGGAACCUCACAAAUUCUUUUUAUUGAAUCAGAAUACAAGUAGAACUAGCAAUAACGCUACCCAUGCUGACUUGGAUCUUCAUGGUGAGUGGGUCCGUCCUUGAUUCUACCGAAUGUGUCACAUGCAGGGCACAACCCCAGUGUGGAGCUAUCAGUUUACUUGGAUUUCAUAUCUUGACUUUCAUCUAAUGCUAAUUUUGAUGCUAAUAUUGGUUUUUUCCUUGCAUCAACUUCUUUUACCCUGAUUUCUAGUUAUCUUGUUCGGUCCCAUACCUAGGUAUGGUGUCAGUUAUGAAGGAUAUAAGGGCAAGUUCCCAGGUCUUUGACUAUAGGUAUUGAAUAUUUUCCUCUCUCUAAGCUUUUAUCAAAACUGGUGUUAUAUGGAAGUUCCCAACUAAGUUAAAAUCUUUUCACAAGUGUGCAUGGUGUAUUCUGCUGCCAUUUUUAGUUCAAGCCAGAUGCUUAUGUUCAUCGAUGAUACAACUGAUGAGAUCGCAUGUGUUCCUCUACUUGUGGUGUACUUGCUAUGCAAUUCCGUCUUUUUCUGCUUGUCACGGCAGCUUGGUUUUGUUUGUUGUAUAGCACAUGGUGACCGUAAUAGAGGGUUAUAUUUGGGAUUUCAAAGGUUGCUGUCGCAUAUUCGUGUGCACGCUGUCUCUUGGUCUUCUUUUGGUGCUUGCACUGCAAUCUGGAUAUUUUCAGGCUUCGAGAAAAGGGUGUUUUCAAUUUUUUUCCCGAGGUGGUAUGGGUUUCACGAGAUUUGCACUAAACUCUUCCUUUUUGUGCUUGCAGCUGUUGGGUCUUAGAGCAGUGAAUUCUUUCCUGAUGGAAUGGCCUUGUUCGUCGAUUUGCGUUUCUUUAGGCUUUUAUGGUAUUGCGAUUUUAAGUUCAGUUUCAUUCUCUAAUCAUAGUGAUGGCAGCACUUUUUGGGCUACCUUGCUGUCCUCCUAGUCUGAAGUUAAUGAUUAGUCUAUAUUAACUAGAAGAGAGGAACAUCUUAGAUCUCGGUAGACUCUGAUCAAUCAAUGUCUUUACGAGGAAGCAGAGGGCUUUUAGUGCUUAUAUUUUUGUAUGAGUUCAUUUGUUUCAAACUAUUCUAUUAGGUAGAUCUCUCUCCUUUUUUUUUUUGGAAGCAUGCAUAUUAUAUUUUGUAUGUUCAUUCAUUUAAAGACUUGCUUCAAACUGUUAGCUAUUGUAAAAGCUAUUAUGUAAAAGAGCCCCUCCACACUUUUUUCUCCAUAACACAUUACCAUUUGAACUGCCUUUGCCCCAAAAAGAGCUCGAUUCACUAAUCUAAAACAGAUCAAUUGUACCUGUAAAAAAACCUGGCUCAUAUCCUGUAGAACAGGUCAUGUAUUCUCUUAUUUUAUUUUUGUAUGUGAAUGCGAAGGUUAUUAAGGAAAAGGCUUUUUUCGUCAUGUAUAGAGCAAAAUUGUUGUUGGUUUGUGAGUUCAUCUUGCCUUUUGCUUGCUUUUAAGAUUGCUUAAAUUCAAUAAUGUCGAGAUUUCAAUUUUUGCUGAUGUGAUGUCAUCCUAUCUUUAACCUGACCCCAAAGGGUGGUUAUGUACUAGUACAUAUGUUGCAAAAUUUAGGAUUCUCAUGGUCUCUUCCGUUGCAUGUUGGAUAUUCAUCAACUUUUUUCAUCUUCUGUUUUUUCAUUCUCUCUUUCAGAUUACACGAUGCCUCGUUAUUUUCUGACUGAAGCUUUUACAUUUUGUGCUUAGCUUUAGCUUUCACAAAUGUUUUUCUAUACAUAAGCUUUCUGUAGAAGACAUCCUGUUAAGGAGUGGUGGAUGUUGACUGGCUUUCGCAAUAUUAUGCUAUAAUGGGCUGAUGUGGAUUUUGUUGCAGGGUUUCCAGUGAGCAAUAUCUUUUCUGCUCGGUCUUUUUUCUUCCCCUUUUGGAGGAAUAAGGUAGUAUAGGAAAAAUCAAACAAAGCAACCACCCGUAUGCAAGAAGUGUACCUGAUGUCCAAUACAUUAAAGAAGCUUCAGCUGACCAUCUUCCUGGUUCAUGCAUCACAUAUAUCUUCUAACAAAUAAAGUUCUGUUUUGGGCUGGAGAUAUAACUUCUUUUUACAUUUUAGCUGCUGUGCAUUUUCAGAUUAGCAUUUUGUCAGCUGAAGUCAUAUUGUGCACUAACUAGCCAGCUCCAUGAAGUUGUCUACUUCAUGUGAAGUCACAUUGGAAAACAGUACAUUUUUUCCUGUGAAUGUUUCAUGAUAGUCCGGGGACUCUGCUUUUCAACAUCUGCUGGCUUUUCUUUGGAGGAACUGUCCUAUCAUAUCUGCUAUUUUUGCCUGAACGAUUUGGAUCCUAGAUGGGCAGGGUAAAUUCUAUGGCUUGUUUAGGAAAUUUGAAGUGCAUUCCACGUUAGGUUUGGUUUGUUAGUGCAACCGGUGUUUGGAUAAUCAUUUCUCGCAUAGCUGCUUUUACAAAAGUCUUUUACUGUGAGAUUAGAGGAUGGAACUUGAGAGGAAUAUAAUACCAUGUGAUCUUUCUCAGGGAGUGUAUGCAGUGAGUUCUAAGCAUAUGUGCUGUCAAUUGUGCUUUUUGAUCUGAGAGAGUCUUAUUAUGUCUUCUGUGUGGAAGGAUCCCCCCAGCCUUAUAGGAGAGAUACCUUCAUCAAAAGGGAAAAAAGGAACAAGAACGCCCAGCUUAUAGGUUCUUAUAUCUUUUGAUAUUCAAUGAUGUGGUUGAACACAGAUGUGAUUUUAUCUUCUUUUGAGAAUGUUGACAUUGUUAUGGGCUAUGCCCAACUUUGGUAGGUCAGCUGGCACUAUGGAAUUUGUACCUGCAACUUGCUUUUUGAUUCUUGCUUACACUAAAGUUUUUAUGUGGAAGUAGUCCUUUGGAGAUUCAGCUUCGAGAGAGACUCGGUGGAGAGUUUGCUUUUGUCACUUGGCUAUAUGAGAUUUUUCUAUGGCGGGAAAGCGUGGCUGCUAGAUAAAAUGCCUCAAGAUGUGUUAGCAGCUUGUAUUGGCAAGUCGACUGAGAAGUUUCAGUCAGUUGUGCUCGCUUAUCAUGCAAUUGGUAAUUAGAAAUUUUAAUAACAACUUCUUUCCUAUAUCUUCAGUUAGAAGAAUUUCACCAAUGUUUUUGAUGAUUUAAGGGAUUGCAGUCUGUCUCACAUCUACUGCGAUUUAUUGAAGAUCCACCUUCACACAGGAGAUAUUGUUUCGUUAUUGAUGGCUCCUAACUCAAUAUUCAACUAGAGUUUAGUGCUUAGCCCGGCAGUAUAUGAAUAUGUAGUUUCAGUAUGUGUUUUCUACUUACCCGGUAUAUAUCCUCAAAAAACAGCCGAUAUUCCAUCCCUAUCCUUCCCUGCUUGCAGUAUAAUACUCUUUCACUGUUUGCUAUUGCUACUGGAUUUUCAUGGAUGAUGUAGACGGCAUCUUAGAAUCAGUGGACCAUUGAAGUUUCUGAUUUGACAUGUGAGGUUUCAAUGCGGUGCAGACUACCUUCCGAGCUUGUUUUCCUUCCAUGUCCGCUCCAUUUUAGUGAUGAUCCACCUUUGCAUUGGAAAUUUGGUUCAUUAUUGAUGUCUAGAAAUGCUUCCAUUCACUGCUGCACAACAUGAACUCUUCACUAUUUGCUUGUGAGCUUUUCAUGGAUGCUGCAAGACCAGUGCAAAUAUCAGUUUGCAAUGGUGGUCAAACUUGUCAUCAUUGGCAACAUUGCGAAAACGAUAUUGAUAUGUGUGGUCUCUGUGGACGCUUGCAGACUACAUCCAAAUUUCCAGUAUGGAGGGAUUGUAGUCUUUUUUCUUUUCUUUUCACGUCUACUCCAAUGCAAUGAUGAUACACCCUUGCAGUGGAAAACUUUUCCUUGAUGUCUCCGAGUGACUUCCAACUCAAUAUUCAACUAAAUAAGAGGUUCGCAUUUAGCCAGGCCCCAAAUUGUGUAUUCAAGCAUCUUAAGAAUUUAUUAUCUGGAAAGUUGGUGAUCCUUGUAUAUUCUCAUCAUCUUUAAGAAGUUCUUGCCUGCCUGAAACAUAACAUUCUUUACUAUUGCUUGGUGGAUUUCAUCAGCUUGUGUGAUUUUCGUGAAUGCUGCAGAGCACAUCCAAAUAUCAAUCUGCAAUGGGAAUCAACUCCAUGGCAAUCCUGAUAAUGAGGUGUCGUGUGUGGGGGGUUUCCGUUGACGUUGCAGAUAAUGUCUAAAUUUCAGUCUGCAAUUGUGUAAUCAAACUGAUGUAGAAUGCCGUGGAUGGUAAUGUUUGGCUGUGAAGUCCUUUCAUGUAAGUUCCUGUUUCAGACAAUACUUUAGCUGUGAGAUAGAAGAAUGGAUUCAAAAGCCCCCUAAUAUCUUUUGACUUACUGUCACUUGCCGCUUUUUGGGCUUUGAAGGUCGAUCCAAAAGCAUGCAUUGAAUACCGCGAGACUUAUUUCCUCAGGAAGGUUAACACAUGUCUAUGAAAAUAUUGUGUCGGUUGUACCUUGAUUCUGAUAUAAAAUACCUUUCAUGUAACAUUUGGCUGAUUAUUCCUUUCAUGUAGAUACCUGUUCCAAACAAAUCUCAGUUGUGAGAUAUAGAAUUUGGAAGUCACCUGGUACCAUGUGGCUUAAUAUCUGUGAGGCUCCUCUAAGUUGGGAUCGGAUCCAUGCUGUCAUGUGAGUUUUUGCUCUUUGAGGUCCUUGCGUUGUCUUGUUCUGGAGGUGUACCUAAUUAGUAGCUUUGUAUUAGUAUGUUAUAUAGAAGUCAACAGUGCCAAAAAAGACUGCCUUCUCCACUUUGUGUGCUAAAUUGGUGUUUUUUUAAUAGACGAAUGAGGGAGAGGACAGAUUAUAACUCAUUGGUGUUAUUUUGUGGAAAGGCCUUCGAGGGAUUAUGAUCAUAUCUUGUUAGAUAGUUAUGAUGUUGACUUCUGGGUUGCCUGAUAUCCCAUACAACAUUCAACUUCCUAAGCGGGGCAUUUGCAAAUAGGAGGAUGAGCGGAUUAGAUACUAGGAUAAUGGCUCUUUUUUGUACUCUUUUCCCAGUUUGGUAUUAAAAAAAAUAGUAAGUUUCCCCAUGUCAAAAUAUAUAGAUUUAGGAGUGUGAGGGUCAAACCAUUCAAUUUUCAGUUUCAAUACGGACAUUGAUUCCUCGGAUAAUAAUGAUCCCGUAUGAAGUGGAACAGGAGGGAUUGAACUUUUGUGAGAGUAGAAUCCUGUGCCCAGAGUGAAAAAUUAUUAGUGUAACUGGAAUUCCACGUUGUCUACUUCAGGUGAAGUAUAUGGGAAGUAGUAACUUUUUAUCCUGUGGAUGUUUCAGUGCAGUCGGGUGCCUCUGCUUUUCAAUAUCUGCUGGCUUUUCUUUGGAGGAACUGUCAUAUGAUAUCUGCUAUUGUUGCCUGAAUGAUUCAUGUCCCAUGGGCAGGGUGAAGUCUGUGGCUUUUUAGGGAAUUUGAGGUGCAUUACAAGGUUAGGCUGGGGGCUUGUUAGUGCUACCAAUGUACAAGUUAGCUCAUAUUGCUGCUUGUAAACAGUCUUUAACUGUGAGGUAAAAGGAUGGAACUUUAAGGGAUUUUCUCAGGAAGUGUAUGCAAUGAGGUCUAAGCGUUUGUGCUGUCAAUUUGAGCUUUUUGGUUUGAGGAGUUUAUCAUAUUUUCUGUAUUGUGGAAGGAUACCCAGCUUUAUACGAGAUAUCUUACUAAAUCAAAGGGAUAAAUUAAAAGAAAGGAAGCUUAUAGAUUUUGCUAGUUUGACGCACAAUGACGAGGUCGAAUGGGAGAUGUGAUUUUAUUUUAUCUUCUUUCGAAAACCUUGACGUGGUCGUAUGUACUGCCAAAUAUUGAUAGUCAUCGGGCACUAGGUGACCGUGGUAACUCCGCCUGUCAAAUCAGCCGGUCCCAAGCAUGGACUGAGGAGAGAAGGUGUCAAGUGUGCUACCGGUCUGUCUGUGGUUUUUAAUCAGUAGCAAUAUUUUCUGGAGUUGCCUUUGAAUGAAUUACGCGGCUGCUAGAUAAAAUGUCUCAAGAUGGGUUAGUGCUUGUGUUGGCAGAUUGAUUAUACUAGAGAAGUUUCAGUCAGGUGUUAUCGCUUAUCUUGCAAUGGGAAAUUAGAAAUGGUGGUAACAACUUAUUUUCAUGCUUCUUCAGCGAAAAGGAUCCACCAGUGUUUUUGAUGAUUUGAGGAAAUGCAGUCUGUUGUACAUCUGCUACAGUAUUUUGAUGAUCCACCUUCGCACUGGAAUAUUGGUCCAUUCUUGAUGUCUAUAAAUGGCUUCUAACUCAAUAUUCAACUAUAGGUUUGUAUUAAUGUGUCUGCUUGAGAAUCAUGUGAACUUGUUUUCUAGAUAGUUGAUGACCCAUUAUAUAUCAUCAAAAAACAGCUGAUACCCCAUGACUGUUUGCAGUGUAAUAAUCUGGUUGUUAGCCAAUGCUACUAGGUUCUGAUUGACAUGUGAGAUAUCCAUGUAUGCUGACUAUGUCCAGAGUCUCUUUUUCUUCUGUCUACUACAAUUUAUUGAUAAUCCAACUUUUGCAUUGGAUAAUUCUUUCAUCAUUGAUGUCUAUAAAUGAUUUCUUUUACAGCUGCAACAUAAUACUCUUCACUAUUUGCUAUUCGCUUUUGUGGUCUUUAGGGAUGCAGCAGACUACGUGCAAACGGUAUCAGUUUGGAAUGGUGGCCAACUUCGUCCCUUUUUUUGUGAUAAUUGAGUUCUCGAGGGCCAGUGGUGCAAGGUCUAAAACUUGGUGGAUAAUAGGCCAGCCCCUCUAUCUUCAGUUAAUGCUAAGCUUCUGUUUACGGAAAGGUUCGAACCCAUGAUUUGUGCCUAACUCGCACAAAAGGUUGCACUCUUACCAUUAAUCAAAUUCUUAUUGUGGAACUGAUGUUUACAUGUGUGGUCGCUGUGGAUAGCAGACUAUGUCCCAAUUUCUGGUGUGGAGGGAUUGUAGUAUUUUCUUUUUCUUUUUCCCCGUCUACACCAAUGUAAUGAUGAAGCACCUUUCCAUUUGAAAAUUGUUUCGUUAAUGAUGUCCAUCAGGUUUGUGUGUGAAGGGGUGUUUGCAAGGAUCUUCUGAAUUUAUUAUCUGGGCAGUUGGUGACCCUUAUAUAUCCUCGUCAUCUUCAUA